rnacentral:lncRNA from 1 species
GUGGGUCCUGAGACUUUCCAAUUAUAUAUUACUUUUUUUUAAAAUUUUUUUUAAUGUUUAUUUAUUUUUGAGACAGAGAGAGACAGAGCAUGAAUGGGGGAGGGGCAGACAGAGAGGGAAACACAGAAUCGGAAGCAGGCUCCAGGCUCUGAGCCAUCAGCCCAGAGCCCGACGCGGGGCUCGAACUCACGGACCGCGAGAUCGUGACCUGGCUGAAGUCGGACGCGUAACCGACUGCGCCACCCAGGCGCCCCGACAUCACCUAAUUUAAUAGUUGUAGCAACUAUGGGGUGCCUGGCUGGCUCCGUCGGUAGGCAUGCGACUCUUGAUCUCAGGGUCGGGAGUUCAAGCCCCACAUUGGGCAUGGAGCCUACUUAAAGUUAAAAAAAAAAUAGUCAACUCUAUACGGAAGGCCUUAUCAUCACUAUUUAGGAGAUGUUGAAACUCAGACCUAACAAAGAUUAAGUGGCCCACCUAAAGUCACGCAGUGUAGACACUAUUGUCCAUGACCAUGUUGGAUUCCUCUUCCAUUCCCUUAUUCUGGCACCAGACCCUGCACCCUGACCCCUGUGACUGAUGGCUCUUGAGAGGGGCAUAUGCCGCAAGCUGAGCCAAUCGAAACGCUUCUCUGGGAUUUUUCUCUCUGGAGCUGGAGGUAAAGGUAAAGAGCUCUCUCUGGUUGUAUAGCUCCUCUUUCUAGAAACUUCUUUUCCCUUCAUAUCCACACGAGUAGAGAGAACAGCCACGUUAGCACUUGACCCUGCCUCUGGAUACAGUUGAUUGGUUCAAGGGUGAAAACUUGACCCAAGAAAGACUAAUCAGUUCUGUAGUGGUGUUGAUAUGUAUCCACAAGUUCUUUGACACUCUUCCUUCCAAACGGUUAAGCCUAAUUUCCCUCCCCUUGAAUAUGGGCUGGACUUAGUGCCUUGCUUUUAAUGAAUAGAAUGAUGGUAUUUGACUUCUGAGGCAGGUCAUAAAAAGGAUCGUUUCUGGCUGAUGUUCUCUGUCUUUCACUCACCUCAGGGGAAGCCAACUGCUAUGCUUGAUUGACGACACUCAAGCAGCCUAUAGACAGGCCCAUGUGGUGAAGAACUAUGACAACCAGAACUACCCCUGGAUUCCUGACCCACAGAAACUAUUGAAAAAGACCAGUCUGAAAUGGACCAGAGAUGAGCAAUGGAGGGAGACGAAAUUUCUGAUGGCCUACCAGUUCCUGCAUCCAGCUGUUCCUGAAACCCAGCCAGGUCCCGCCUUUAAUAAUAGCAGGGGCAGCAGCAACAACAAACAUUUACUGAAUGCCUAUAAUAAAUCCCACCUUUUGCUAAUUUAGCUCCUCUUACUUGCGACCGAGAAAGUCUUAAAGAGCCCAAUAUCCAUUGCAACAAUAUCUGGAAGGGGAGAGAAUGUGCUAAGGGAAUGUGCUAAGGGAACGAAAUUUAAAUCAAGGUUUACAAAAAGACACAAGUGGGAAAUCAUGCAAGACUGUAACUGAGUCAUGCAUAAAUUUUGCCUAGACCUUCUCUGUGCUUAGGGCCCCUUGUGCGGGGAGCACAGCCCCACAGGGAGGCAUUCAUGGAUCGGAUGCCAAACAGAUUCAGGCAGGGGGAAUGGGCGAAGAAGACAAAGCAAGGCACAUUUCCGAAAGCUUUCUGAAUCUUUAAAAUUAGGACCUAAAUCUAUCUUCUUAUCAAGAAUGGCAGGGGUGGGAGAUGGCGUUGGAAGGCGGAGGUUUUUCAACCAAUAAAGCGCUGCCUCCCUCACUUCUAUAUUCUUUU